UACGUAGGGUGCAAGCGUUAUCCGGAUUCACUGGGCGUAAAGAGUUUCGUAGGCGGUUUGCUAAGUGUGUGGUGAAAGCCUGGGGCUCAACCCCAGAAUUGCUGCGCAUACUGGCAGACUAGAGGGCGCUAGAGGAGGCUGGAAUUCUCGGUGGAGCAGUGAAAUGCGUAGAUAUCGAGAAGAACACCAAGGGCGAAGGCAAGCCUCUGGGGCGUUUCUGACGCUGAUGAACGAAAGCUAGGGGAGCGAAAGGG
rnacentral:misc_RNA from 1 species